CUCAUGCUUUCCGAAAGGAUCUCCAAAAUUAAGGUGGCUAACAAGCUCCAACCCGUCAUCUGAUGCAUUUGAACCAUACAUACUGAUAGGGUGAGACUGAUUGGUUGUGUCCAACACAUUAACGAGGAUAGUUUGUUUACUUGCAAGCUGAUGUAGCAACUUCUCCACGAGUGACUCAACAUCGAAGACUCCACCAAGAUACCUGAUUGAGAAAUGAUGCUAUCAGAUUUCUUCUAACAACUUUUAACUGUUUUAUGCAUGCAUGCAUGUGCGUUUACAGAGAUGGGAAGCUUAAGGCGUUCAGCUUCCUACUAGUAUCUUGUAAAAUAAAGGGAACAUC